UUUACUGGUCGCUUGAGCUCGCCCACGCACUUGUGUAACUUUGACUGCUUAAGAGCCCAGCAGAAGCUUGCAGACCUAUGCAGAUUGAAAAUGGGGUCGUUUUUAUCGUAUUUAGGAGAACGAUCCACAGAAGAGUCACACACAGAAGUGACUGCAGAGGUCGAGUCCACAGAGAGGAUUAUGAAGAUCAAAGUUUGGGACUGUGGGAAUGACCGGGCCAUCGUCCUGAGUGUCACUGAGGAGCAGUUAAAGAGGAUCACAGUGCUGCAGCUGAAGAAGAAGAUACAGUCUGUCUUCGGGAUCCGAGUGUAUACGCUGGCAAUCGGCCCCUGGGCGCUGUAUGACGACGAGCUGCUGACUGACCAUGGAAUCAAAGAUGGAUCAACCAUUAACUUGAAUGGAUUUGUAUAUCAAAGUCGUCGCAAAAGUAUUGGAAUGGGUGACAGAGAGAGCAGAAACCAGAGUAUGGAAUGCGUGGCUAUAAUGUUGACAGGAAGUGAUGUCAGUGAGUCAGAACCACGCCCUUAACCAGCAGCAGUCAAAGAUCUCCACAAGGAUUCAUGCUGAGGACUUCAGACAGCAAAACAAGUCACACAGGUGGACAGAUCAGUGUUUUCUACAUCACAUUAACAGUACAACUGGUACAGUGACUGGAGUAAAUCAGCUCCACUGAGUCUUAAAGAAGGCUGAUGUUAUCCUGCUCUGUCCUCACCAUGACUUAUUAUCAUCUGGGACACACAAAGACACAUUUGGACUCAUCGUCACAUUUCAGAUAUUUGUCUAAAAUCAUCCGUUGUAUGAAUCUGUCCAGAGAGAGAGAUGUUACUCUCUAUAUACUAUAUAUACUUCAUAUAUUAAUCUAAGUAUACUGUUUUAAUACUGAGGUUUAAAAGUGCAUUAAGUGAUUCCUGAGAGAGUCAGUGGAUUGCUUGGGUUGGUAGCUCGCCAACAACUGAAAGCAUUAAUAUUUUACUAUCAACUGUUGUAACCAGAGUGACUCACAUGCACUAACAUGUCUGCAUGGUCGGCUCUGCUAUCAAAUCAAAGAGAGAAGCUCAGAUCACCUCUGGAUUACAGUUGGAUGACUAAAAGGAUUAAAAUCUUCCAUUGGGCUUUUUAAACUGGACCUGAGUGAUUUAUAAUAAUAUGAUUGUUACAGAAUCAUUUUUAUUCUGAGAAUGAUCUGUCGUGAGCUGUACUGUGUUUUAUGACACGACUUUGUUUUUUCUUUUACCGUUGUAUUGACUGAUGUGUGACCGACUGAUGUGGCUGCAACAUGUCAGAUUAAUGUCAGCAUGCACAAAUGAUUUAUUAUCAUUGCAAAAUAGGUUGUGUGAGCCAGUUUCUGUAAAGGAUAACAAACACAUUGCAGGUCUAGCAUGUUAAAAACUGUAUUUCUUAUUCUCUGAAACUCUAAAAGUGUGUAAAAAAAAAAAGACGUUUAUGUUUAGAAACGAGUGUGAAAACACUGCUUGUAUGAUGUUAUAUAUUUUAGUAUUCACAUCGAACACAGACAGAUUUCUUGGACAGUGCUUUUGUUUAACUCUCAUAAAUGCACAGAUGAGGUGUUCAAUACAAUAUUUCAUUAUUCAGAACAUCCUGUAGAAACCAGAUGAGAAACACACAACUCAGACGGCUAUUUCACUUUAUUGAAGUGUAAACUAAAGUGUGGGCUUUGAUGAUAGAAAGACAUACUGCAGUAAUCCAGAGGAGUUUUGGCUGCAGUUCAACACAGUAACUCAACAGUCACAUCAUGUUUACUUUUGCCACUUCAAGUGCUUUCAGCUGAUGACACCUCUGUUAAUACAGAAUAUGCAAUACAGUCUGUUUGAUUUACAGUAGACUGUGGACAUUGUUCAUAUGUGGCGGACCCUGCCACCUCUCUGGCGUCAAACAGUGUUCUCGGGACCUUAUUUUCCUCUGAGAACAGCUUGUUUGCUCACUAAUGGAAAAAAAAUUCUGAGUUUGUAUUAUUACCUAAUUGAUAUUGUAGAUAUUAAAAUUCUGAGUUUGAAUUUCUUCUCUAAAACUACGUACGUGCCCCUUUAAACAAUCAGUAAAACUGGAGACGGACAACUUCCGCCCACCUGUACAGCAGGUGGUUUGUUAAUGUUGCCGCCUCCAUUAUACAUUUAUUUACUGGAUAGUUGUCGAUGUGUCAGCAGAUAGAAAUGGUGCCAGUCUGACUGGAUUUACUAGUGGAUGUAAUCUAGUAUUAUUGUCAAAGUGUCUAUUGAUUAAUACUUACAUUGGUACAUUAUUUUCAAAUAUGUAGACUUUUUGGGGGGGUUGACCUACAGAGGGAGCUAAAUGUCAUCACUCAAUGGACAAAACUGACACAUUUUUACUAGACUGCCGGUCAGGGACUGAAACUGCUGAAUCAAAACAAAAGAAAUGUAAGAGGAAAUCAUUAAAAUGUACUCUUAUGUCCAGAAUCAGAGAUUUUAUUCUACCCUUUUUAAUAUAAUUGUCUGAGAAUGAUCUGUGUCAGAUGUGCUGUUAUUUUUUUAUUUACGCAUGUAAAUGGAAAAUCAAGAGACGCAAAUUAUUCCCAGGAAGCUACCUAAUGACAGAUUGUUUGACCUCCCAGUUUUUUGCAAUGGAUACCAAAUACUUUGAGGAAACCUGUGGAGCCGUUUGUAAACUCUUUCUAGUCUUUCUUCAAACUGCAGCAUUUUCUAUGAGCUCAUAGUAUUCCAUCAGACACAGGCAGACCUUAAGACACGUGUCAGUAUUGAUGUAGCUCAAAGUGCCUGUUGUUACAUUCUUUUUAUUCAAAGAGUAUUUUUAAAACUGUGAUGUUUGUAUUUUCUUUAUUAAAACACGUUUCCAGUCUUUCUUAA